ensembl:snoRNA
GAACUGUGAUGAGUCUAUCCCGAACCUGACAUGGUUGAUGAAACAAACAACGGAUCUGGCUGCUGAGUU